GUACCUUCAGGCGUUUGGAAAUUGCUCCCAAGGAUGAACCAGACUUGUGGAGGUCUACAAUUUUUUUCUGCGGUCUUAGCUGAUUUCUUUUGAUUUUCCCAUGAUGUCAAGCAAAGAGGCACUGAGUUUGAAGAACCAAGGAUGAAGAAAUUCUUCUCUAUUUUGACUGGGAAUACCCUGGGGUCUCACGAGAUAUUAAUUCAUCGUCUCGCUUCAAAAAGACACUUAACCGAAGUGACGUCACAAGAGGAGAGUGAUGUCAUCCUGGCUUUCUGUCCCAUCGUCUCUCGUGCUGGGACUGAUAUUGAAGCAGCACUGGAGCAGAUUCCAGCUGGUAAACCUGUCAUCCUGGUAGUGCUGCAUCACACCUUCGAUCCAGACUACACUGUACCUAACAGUAGCAGACUAGUGACCAGAGGUGAUGUAAUACUCACAGUGGACUGUCUCUUCCAUGAGAGCAAAGGACUACUGGAGUGUCAACGCAAUAGGAAAGCAAUCAAAAAGAUUCAAGAGAGGCUAAACAAAUGGCCAAAGGUGAGACAAGAAACAGAGGGGAAGGUCAGUUGCUGCAGCAUUUGCUGAUGAAGGGCCCAAGAAACAAGGCAGUGCACACUCACACCUGAAGAUGAAAAGAUGACGAGACCAACCUGUCUUUAGAAGUGUGUGAGACAGUGUGAUCAGCAGUAAUACAUUAACACCACUGUAAUCAUUGUAUGAUGCAACAAUUCACACAUUGGCUUUUUGGAAGAGAUUCUGAAUGAAAUCAAUGGUAGGAAGUACAUUUUCCAGUCAUUUCUUGUUUGAAUGCAUAUUACUUUGUCUAUGAACAUAUUAAUCUCAAAUAGCAGAAAUUACCACAGUGAUAUUUUCCCAAGUUGUUUACUUUCAAGUAGUUUACUCACCAACGAAUAAUUUAUUAGACACAUAAUUUAAUAAAUGAGAGAUGUACUGCGCCCUGGAGGUGACAUUGA